AAACAGUAAACGUCAGAUUUUUUAAAUGCCUAAAAUAGAUGACAGUAACACUAGACACUAAUAUUCAGAGGUAUCUGGACUCCCCUUUAGGUUCUAAAUUGACCUUUAUAAAGCCACAGACCUUCUGAACUUUUGAGGGUCUGUGAAAAGAGAGAAAGAUGACAGAAGUUGAGCAGGACACAGUAUUUACAAAAAUAUCAAGAUGCGUCAUUGUUAUAGCAACAUUAAUUUUUUGCAGUCCUUUUGAGAGACCAAAAAUCAUAUAAAAAUGAUUAACUAGGAUUAUAUAUGUAUACAACUUACUGUGCUGCUUUUAUGAUCUGUCACCUCACCUUCACAUCUCGAUUAGGUCCUCUUUCCAUUUUACUGAAAAGAAAUAAUUAGGAAUGGAAACAUAUUUUUUGCUGAUUGUUCUUCAUUCUUACACCCUUCCCACAUAUCCUCAGAUCAUCCUGUCAUUCUCUGCCCUGUAUUGUGACUGUUGGAGCUAAUUCCUACAGACUACACCACCUAGGCUUCCUUAUAAACUUGCUUCCUAUUGGGUUCCACCAAUAGGAAACAUUGGUAUGCUGAGGCUGAGAAGUCAGCCUCACUCAGCUCUAAGCUAUGUUAUCCCACAGGCUCCAUAUCCCUUUCUACCUACAGCUUCUGAGGUAGUCUCCUCCCAUGAUAAUCCAGCCUUCUGAGCAACAGUAAUAUUAUUAUUAUUAUUAUUUUCUCCCCUUGACCCUUCAGGUCUAGGAGUGCUAAUGGUUUCCCCUGCUGCUGGUCUCUGGAUAUUUCAGCAUCCCUUGUUGAUCUCUUAACCCUGCUCAUACCUCUGUGUAUAGUUCCUUCAUAACAAUCUGGGUUAAAUACUAUUUUCAAAACAAGUAUGGCCCCUUGAAACAAGAUGGAAUUCUGGACCAGGUUAAACACAGAUUUGACAGCCUCAUAAAUGACAUCUGUCCUUGAUAGUCUGUGCAAUGCACUGGCAACAAGAUUAUUCAGAUUAUCACUGAUGAUGGCAUGGGAUAGAAUGCCAAGUAGGGAACAAAACUUUUGUUGGUUGGGUAACUCUUGAUGACAGCAGUGGGGACUACAAAAGAUUGUGAAGUGGAUGGCUAUUUCUGACUGCGUUAAAGAUCUUACAGAGGGGGAAAAAUAAGCUUAAAGCUGUGAAAUCUCAAAAUAAGGUAGAGAUGAAGAACCAGAAACCUUCUAUGGCAGUCUCAAAAGGAUUCCUUAUCUUGUGCAGUUGCAGGACUGAAAUGACUGAGUAUUAGUCCCCAAAACUUAAUUGUGCAGGUUUUAGAGUUUCAAUGCCUAGCUAAAAGCACAGCCUUGCCAAGUCUCUUAUUCUAAAGUUAGAGCACUGUUUGAAAAGGAAUAAAACAGAUCAAGACCUUUGGUCAGUGUAAGACAAAGCCCAAAUCCCAAGUCCCUCUGAACCUUGCUACCUUUCCUCUGCGGAGAAAGCUACCUUCUCUCAUAUAAAAGUCAUUCGGAAAUUUCUCCUGGGUCAGUUAUAUCACAAGGGACUGCCUAUUAUCCUGAAGAAGAACUCCUGUUUCCCCUCCUCAUCUCCAGACCCAUAAAGAGAGUUAAACUCCUCAUGGCCCAUGAAGAGAAAUAACUGUUCAGUUCCUAGAGGAAAUAACCUAACGGCAUUUCAAGAAAAAGAGGCUGGUGAUAAAGCAACCCCAGCAGAAUGGAGGAAUUCAUCACUGACAUUUUUACAAUUGCCAGCACAUUUUGAUAAUAAAAAGCAGAAGACAUUUAGUUGGUUUAUUAUUGUUUUAAAAUUCUCUAUACACAUUACUUGCUUCAGCAGCACACAUACUAAAAUUGGAACGAUACAGAGAAGAUUAACAUGGCCCAUGAGCAAGGAUGACACUCAAAUUCGUAAAGCGUUCCAUAUUUUUUAUUUUUUUUUAUUUUUAUUUUUUUUUAUGAUAGUUACAGAGAGAGAGAGAGAGAGGGAGGCAGAGACACAGGCAGAGGGAGAAGCAGGCUCCAUGCACCGGGAGCCUGAUGUGGGAUUCGAUCCCGGGUCUCCAGGAUCGCGCCCUGGACCAAAGGCAGGCGCCAAACCGCUGCGCCACCCAGGGAUCCCAAGCGUUCCAUAUUUUAAAAAAUAAUAAAAUUUUCUACACACAGGGCACCCUUUUUUGUCUGAACCUGGGGCAGAACAGUGGCAUAUAUAUCAAACAAACAGUAAGAUCUUCUUAAUUUGUGUCAAAAGGCCUGGGUGGUUCAGUUGGUUAAGCAUCUGCCUUUGGCUCAGGUAUGAUCCCAGGGUCCUGGCAUCAGCUCCCUGCCUUCCUCCUCUCCUGCUCACCUUACUUCUGCUCUGUCAAGAAAAUAAAUAAAAUCUUAAAACAAAUUUUUGAAUUAGAACCUAGGAAACGUGCAGGGUGGAUUCUAGGUAUAUCUGUUUAAAAAGUAUAAAACGGGCGUCUGGCUGGCUCAGUCAGAAGAGCAUGCAACUCUUGAUCUUGGGGUCUUGAGUUUGAGCCCCACAUUGCGUGUAGAGAUUACUUAAGUAAAAAUUAAAAAAAAAAAA
rnacentral:lncRNA from 1 species